UUUCCGUAGGUGAACCUGCGGAAGGAUCAUUAUUGGAUUUUGAAACUUCAGGCUGCUGCUGGCUCUCCUCGGAGGGCAUGUGCACGCUUGUUGUCCAUUAUUUCUCCCACUGUGCACAAAUUGUAGACCUUUCAGUAGGCCUAUGUUGUUUUUCACAAUCUCUGAAUGUAAUAGAAUGGUUUUGAAUCUCGGGAAAUACAAUACAACUUUCAGCAACGGAUCUCUUGGCUCUC
rnacentral:misc_RNA from 1 species